CGGACGGGUGAGUAACACGUGGAUAACCUACCUAUAAGACUGGGAUAACUUCGUGAAACCGGAGCUAAUACCGGAUAAUAUUUUGAACCGCAUGGUUCAAAAGUAAAAGACGGUCUUGCUGUCACUUAUAGAUGGAUCCGCGCUGCAUUAGCUAGUUGGUAAGGUAACGGCUUACCAAGGCAACGAUGCAUAGCCGACCUGAGAGGGUGAUCGGCCACACUGGAACUGAGACACGGUCCAG
rnacentral:rRNA from 1 species